AAUGAACGUUGGCGGCGUGGAUUAGGCAUGCGAGUCGAGCGUGUACCCCAAGGGGGAAAGCGGCAAACGGGGUAGGAAUGAGUAGGUAACGUACCCCUCGGUCGGGGAUAGCCACGGGAAACUGUGGGUAAUACCCGAUAACGCCGAGAGGCCAAAGGUGUGAUUCCACCGGGGGAGCGGCCUGCUUAGUAUUAGCUAGUUGGUAAGGUAAUGGCUUACCAAGGCUAAGAUGCUUAGGGGAUGUGAGAGCAUGAUCCCCACCACUGGGACUGAGAUACUGCCCAGACACCUACGGGUGGCUGCAGUCGAGAAUCUUCGGCAAUGGGGGCAACCCUGACCGAGCGACGCCGCGUGUGGGAUGAAGGCCCUUGGGUUGUAAACCACUGUCAGAGGGGAUGAAACGGUAGAGGGUUCUCCCUUUACCUUGACAUAGCCUCAGAGGAAGCACGGGCUAAGUUCGUGCCAGCAGCCGCAGUAACAC
rnacentral:rRNA from 1 species